AUCUAAAUAGCUUAUAAUUAGAGCAUAGUAUUGAAGAUACUAAGGAAAUAUUUUAUUUUUAGAUA
rnacentral:tRNA from 1 species